AUUGAACGCUGGCGGCAGGCCUAACACAUGCAAGUCGAGCGGAUGAAGGGAGCUUUCUCCUGGAUUCAACGGCGGACGGGUGAGUAAUUCCUAGGAAUCUGCCUGGUCGUGGGGGAUAACGUCCGGUAACGAGCGCUAUUACCGCAUACGUCCUGAAGGAGAAAGUGGGGGAUCUUCUUACCUCACGCUAUCAGCUUAGCCUAGGUCGGAUUAGCUAGUUGGUGGGGUAAAGGCCUACCAAGGCGACGAUCCGUAACUGGUCUGAGAGGAUGAUCAGUCAAACUGGAACUGAGACACGGUCCAGACUCCUACGGGAGGAAGCAGUGGGGAAUAUUGGACAAUGGGCGAAAGCCUGAUCCAGAAAUGCCGCGUGUGUGAAGAAGGUCUUCGGAUUGUAAAGCACGUUAAGUUGGGAGGAAGGGCAGUAAGUUAAUACCUUGCUGUAUUGACGUUACCAACAGAAUAAGCACCGGCUAACUUCGUG
rnacentral:rRNA from 1 species